rnacentral:rRNA from 1 species
ACACUCCUGCGGGAGGCAGCAGUGGGGAAUAUUGCACAAUGGGCGCAAGCCUGAUGCAGCCAUGCCGCGUGUGUGAAGAAGGCCUUCGGGUUGUAAAGCACUUUCAGCGGGGAGGAAGGCGAUACGGUUAAUAACCGUGUUGAUUGACGUUACCCGCAGAAGAAGCACCGGCUAACUCCGUGCCAGCAGCCGCGGUAAUACGGAGGGUGCAAGCGUUAAUCGGAAUUACUGGGCGUAAAGCGCACGCAGGCGGUCUGUCAAGUCGGAUGUGAAAUCCCCGGGCUCAACCUGGGAACUGCAUUCGAAACUGGCAGGCUUGAGUCUUGGAGAGGGGGGUAGAAUUCCAGGUGUAGCGGUGAAAUGCGUAGAGAUCUGGAGGAAUACCGGUGGCGAAGGCGGCCCCCUGGACAAAGACUGACGCUCAGGUGCGAAAGCGUGGGGAGCAAACAGGAUUAGAAACCCGGGUAGUCCC